GACGAACGCUGGCGGCGUGCCUAAUACAUGCAAGUCGAACGCUUCUUUUUCCACCGGAGCUUGCUCCACCGGAAAAAGAGGAGUGGCGAACGGGUGAGUAACACGUGGGUAACCUGCCCAUCAGAAGGGGAUAACACUUGGAAACGGGUGCUAAUACCGUAUAACAAUCGAAACCGCAUGGUUUUGAUUUGAAAGGCGCUUUCGGGUGUCGCUGAUGGAUGGACCCGCGGUGCAUUAGCUAGUUGGUGAGGGAACGGCUCACCAAGGCCACGAUGCAUAGCCGACCUGAGAGGGUGAUCGGCCACAUUGGGACUGAGACACGGCCCAAACUCCUACGGGAGGCAGCAGUAGGGAAUCUUCGGCAAUGGACGAAAGUCUGACCGAGCAACGCCGCGUGAGUGAAGAAGGUUUUCGGAUCGUAAAACUCUGUUGUUAGAGAAGAACAAGGAUGAGAGUAACUGUUCAUCCCUUGACGGUAUCUAACCAGAAAGCCACGGCUAACUACGUGCCAGCCGCCGCAGUAA
rnacentral:rRNA from 1 species